GUCGGACGGUAGCACAGAGAGCUUGCUCUCGGGUGACGAGUGGCGGACGGGUGAGUAAUGUCUGGGGAUCUGCCCGAUAGAGGGGGAUAACCACUGGAAACGGUGGCUAAUACCGCAUAACGUCGCAAGACCAAAGAGGGGGACCUUCGGGCCUCUCACUAUCGGAUGAACCCAGAUGGGAUUAGCUAGUAGGCGGGGUAAUGGCCCACCUAGGCGACGAUCCCUAGCUGGUCUGAGAGGAUGACCAGCCACACUGGAACUGAGACACGGUCCAGACUCCUACGGGAGGCAGCAGUGGGGAAUAUUGCACAAUGGGCGCAAGCCUGAUGCAGCCAUGCCGCGUGUAUGAAGAAGGCCUUCGGGUUGUAAAGUACUUUCAGCGGGGAGGAAGGCGAUGCGGUUAAUAACCGCGUCGAUUGACGUUACCCGCAGAAGAAGCACCGGCUAACUCCGUGCCAGCAGCCGCGGUAAUACGGAGGGUGCAAGCGUUAAUCGGAAUUACUGGGCGUAAAGCGCACGCAGGCGGUCUGUUAAGUCAGAUGUGAAAUCCCCGGGCUUAACCUGGGAACUGCAUUUGAAACUGGCAGGCUUGAGUCUUGUAGAGGGGGGUAGAAUUCCAGGUGUAGCGGUGAAAUGCGUAGAGAUCUGGAGGAAUACCGGUGGCGAAAGCGGCCCCCUGGACAAAGACUGACGCUCAGGUGCGAAAGCGUGUGGAGCAAACAGGAUUAGAUACCCUGGUAGUCCACGCC
rnacentral:rRNA from 1 species